ensembl:lncRNA
GGAUGAUGAGGCACCAGCUAUUGCCUAAUUAGCGAGCUUGGAGGCUUUGCUGUGUGGGAAGAGAUUCAGCGAGGGCUCAGGGAGGGGGAGAUGUGUGGCUGCCUGCUGGCAGCACCUUCCAGGUCCCCUGGCCCUCCUCGGCCAGGUGCUGUCACCUCGAGCCUUGCCUCAGCCCCAGCCAAGGCCCAGGGCAGUGUCUUUAUGGGUCACUCGUGCUUGUGACAAGCUUUGACACAAGAGUUCGGGCUCUGCGGAUAGAUCAGUCUUGCCGCUGUGUGGGAUUCACUCUGUGGAUGUGGGAUGGCUGUAAGAAGCGUGUGGGGGGCUCUGAUGUUGAACUUAGCAGCGGGGAAGAGGGACAGAGUGGGUCUGUAUGGGUGGGAUGAAGGUAAAGGAGGAAAGCUGGUGCUUUGCUGUGCCACACUGUGCCGUGCCUUUGGGCUGCUGCGCUGUGCAGCACUGCGUGGCAUCUUGUGGUGCCAUGCUGUGCCAUGCAUUGGAGCACCAGGACCCCGUGUUCCCAUUCUGGGGUGCUGGAUGGGAGUCGUGGGAUUCGGGAGAUGAGAGCAGUGCUUGCAGGCUCUGCACAGGGGACAAAGCAUGGGGGCUGAUCGCUGCUCGUAUACCAAGAGCCGUGUCCAGGCACUGAUGUCCAUGGCACACAUAGGGCCACCAGCAGAACGGGGACCCUCCUGCGAGGGCUCCCUGCCUCAGUUUCCCCAUUGGCAGCAGGAAUCGCUGCAUUGCUUCAGUGCUGCGAAGGGCGUGGGGCGGGAUGCGGGCGCUGCGUUGCGGACAGAAGGGGCACAAUGGGACAAGGGCGGCUCGGGGCCGAGUCCCCCGGCAUCCCGCAGGCUCCGUGCCGAGCCGAGCAGCGCCGAGCCGUGCCGAGGGCGGGCGCUGCGGCCGUGCCUGCGGGAGGAGUCCCUUCUGCGGUGCCGCCCCCCGGUGCCGCCCCCGGCCAGCAGAGCCAGGCCGGGCACCGCCGCUUUCAGCCGCGCCGAGCCGAGCCGAGCCGGGCUGAGCCACGCUGGGGCAGCGGCCAUGUACGGAUGUGUGCAGAGUGAGGAAGGGCAGACCGUCCCUGUGGGGACCUGAAUGUGAAUCUGAGGACAAACGCCAGGCUGGUCCCUUCCCCAGCAGCGGCUUGCAGUCUUGGAAAGCAUCCAGAAGCUGGAAAGCUCUGUGGGAUACUUUGGAUGAAAGGUGCAUUAGGAAUGCACGGGAUUAUUGGUAUCUUUUUAAUCUCUCUUUUAACUGUCUCUUGGCCUGUGGGAAGGAUUAGAUGGGUAACUGGGGAUAGUUUUUUCUCUAGGCAGAACAAAGCAAUGCAGGAGAAUUGGUCCAUUGCAGGGGGACCUGCAUGCCUCCCUGGGAGGUGUGUGGAGGGGCAGCACUGGGAGCACAUGCCACCCUCCUCCCUGCACGUUCCCUCUGAUCCCGCAGUGCUGGCACCCCGCACAGAGCUAGCAUCUGUGUUCACAAGCUGCUGCAGAACCAUGCCUACUUUCUGCCCACUUUGGGUUCCUUUCACAGCUACUGGUGAAAAUGGGAGAGCCAAGCUUCGACCCCAGCUGUGCCAGACCCAGCAUGGGUGGCUGAUGUCAUGCUAGCUGAGAGUGCAGUUCUGUGAGCCAAACUGUCUCUGGUGGGAGCUCACUGUCCUGAGCCAUGCUUGGAGAUUAGCUUCUCCUUGGGGUAUUUUACAGUGCAGGAGCUAGAACGCUGCUGGUGGGCUUU